AAAAGUGCACAAAAACCCGAAUCACAAAUGCUCGACUUGCGGUAAAACUUUUUCCGGUGUACAUAAUUUGAGGAAUCACGAGAAACUACACUCGGGCACGCUGCUGCGCCAGCCGUGCCCCGUGUGCGGCAAGGUGGUCCGCUACGACACUAAAAUAAAUAAUUUCCGUAUAUCCUUCCAGACUACACUCGGGCACGCUGCUGCGCCAGCCGUGCCCCGUGUGCGGCAAGGUGGUCCGCUACGACACUAAAAUAAAUAAUUUCCGUAUAUCCUUCCAGACUACACUCGGGCACGCUGCUGCGCCAGCCGUGCCCCGUGUGCGGCAAGGUGGUCCGCUACGACACUAAAAUAAAUAAUUUCCGUAUAUCCUUCCAGACUACACUCGGGCACGCUGCUGCGCCAGCCGUGCCCCGUGUGCGGCAAGGUGGUCCGCUACGACACUAAAAUAAAUAAUUUCCGUAUAUCCUUCCAGACUACACUCGGGCACGCUGCUGCGCCAGCCGUGCCCCGUGUGCGGCAAGGUGGUCCGCUACGACACUAAAAUAAAUAAUUUCCGUAUAUCCUUCCAGACUACACUCGGGCACGCUGCUGCGCCAGCCGUGCCCCGUGUGCGGCAAGGUGGUCCGCUACGACACUAAAAUAAAUAAUUUCCGUAUAUCCUUCCAGACUACACUCGGGCACGCUGCUGCGCCAGCCGUGCCCCGUGUGCGGCAAGGUGGUCCGCUACGACACUAAAAUAAAUAAUUUCCGUAUAUCCUUCCAGACUACACUCGGGCACGCUGCUGCGCCAGCCGUGCCCCGUGUGCGGCAAGGUGGUCCGCUACGACACUAAAAUAAAUAAUUUCCGUAUAUCCUUCCAGACUACACUCGGGCACGCUGCUGCGCCAGCCGUGCCCCGUGUGCGGCAAGGUGGUCCGCUACGACACUAAAAUAAAUAAUUUCCGUAUAUCCUUCCAGACUACACUCGGGCACGCUGCUGCGCCAGCCGUGCCCCGUGUGCGGCAAGGUGGUCCGCUACGACACUAAAAUAAAUAAUUUCCGUAUAUCCUUCCAGACUACACUCGGGCACGCUGCUGCGCCAGCCGUGCCCCGUGUGCGGCAAGGUGGUCCGCUACGACACUAAAAUAAAUAAUUUCCGUAUAUCCUUCCAGACUACACUCGGGCACGCUGCUGCGCCAGCCGUGCCCCGUGUGCGGCAAGGUGGUCCGCUACGACACUAAAAUAAAUAAUUUCCGUAUAUCCUUCCAGACUACACUCGGGCACGCUGCUGCGCCAGCCGUGCCCCGUGUGCGGCAAGGUGGUCCGCUACGACACUAAAAUAAAUAAUUUCCGUAUAUCCUUCCAGACUACACUCGGGCACGCUGCUGCGCCAGCCGUGCCCCGUGUGCGGCAAGGUGGUCCGCUACGACACUAAAAUAAAUAAUUUCCGUAUAUCCUUCCAGACUACACUCGGGCACGCUGCUGCGCCAGCCGUGCCCCGUGUGCGGCAAGGUGGUCCGCUACGACACUAAAAUAAAUAAUUUCCGUAUAUCCUUCCAGACUACACUCGGGCACGCUGCUGCGCCAGCCGUGCCCCGUGUGCGGCAAGGUGGUCCGCUACGACACUAAAAUAAAUAAUUUCCGUAUAUCCUUCCAGACUACACUCGGGCACGCUGCUGCGCCAGCCGUGCCCCGUGUGCGGCAAGGUGGUCCGCUACGACACUAAAAUAAAUAAUUUCCGUAUAUCCUUCCAGACUACACUCGGGCACGCUGCUGCGCCAGCCGUGCCCCGUGUGCGGCAAGGUGGUCCGCUACGACACUAAAAUAAAUAAUUUCCGUAUAUCCUUCCAGACUACACUCGGGCACGCUGCUGCGCCAGCCGUGCCCCGUGUGCGGCAAGGUGGUCCGCUACGACACUAAAAUAAAUAAUUUCCGUAUAUCCUUCCAGACUACACUCGGGCACGCUGCUGCGCCAGCCGUGCCCCGUGUGCGGCAAGGUGGUCCGCUACGACACUAAAAUAAAUAAUUUCCGUAUAUCCUUCCAGACUACACUCGGGCACGCUGCUGCGCCAGCCGUGCCCCGUGUGCGGCAAGGUGGUCCGCUACGACACUAAAAUAAAUAAUUUCCGUAUAUCCUUCCAGACUACACUCGGGCACGCUGCUGCGCCAGCCGUGCCCCGUGUGCGGCAAGGUGGUCCGCUACGACACUAAAAUAAAUAAUUUCCGUAUAUCCUUCCAGACUACACUCGGGCACGCUGCUGCGCCAGCCGUGCCCCGUGUGCGGCAAGGUGGUCCGCUACGACACUAAAAUAAAUAAUUUCCGUAUAUCCUUCCAGACUACACUCGGGCACGCUGCUGCGCCAGCCGUGCCCCGUGUGCGGCAAGGUGGUCCGCUACGACACUAAAAUAAAUAAUUUCCGUAUAUCCUUCCAGACUACACUCGGGCACGCUGCUGCGCCAGCCGUGCCCCGUGUGCGGCAAGGUGGUCCGCUACGACACUAAAAUAAAUAAUUUCCGUAUAUCCUUCCAGACUACACUCGGGCACGCUGCUGCGCCAGCCGUGCCCCGUGUGCGGCAAGGUGGUCCGCUACGACACUAAAAUAAAUAAUUUCCGUAUAUCCUUCCAGACUACACUCGGGCACGCUGCUCCGCCAGCCGUGCCCCGUGUGCGGCAAGGUGGUCCGCUACGACAC